rnacentral:rRNA from 1 species
UGUGAAGCCGGGCCGUGAGGCAUCCGGUGGAGUGAUCGGAAGCGAGAAUGUUGACAUGAGUAGCGACAAACAGGGUGAGAGACCCUGUCGCCGAAAGUCCAAGGGUUCCUGCUUAAAGCUAAUCUGAGCAGGGUAAGCCGGCCCCUAAGGCGAGGCCGAAAGGCGUAGUCGAUGGGAACCAGGUUAAUAUUCCUGGGCCAGGAGAUGGUGACGGAUCCCGAGGGUAGUUCGAUCUUAACGGAUUGAUCGGGCUGCUUAGGGGUCCCUGGAAAUAGCCCUCCACAAGACCGUACCCUAAACCGACACAGGUGGACUGGUAGAGAAUACCAAGGCGCUUGAGAGAACCACAUUUAAGGAACUCGGCAAAAUACCUCCGUAAGUUCGCGAGAAGGAGGCCCGGUUUUUGCGCAAGCAGAGGCCGGGGGCACAAACCAGGGGGUGGCGACUGUUUACUAAAAACACAGGGCUCUGCGAAGUCGUAAGACGACGUAUAGGGUCUGACGCCUGCCCGGUGCCGGAAGGUUAAGAGGAGAGGUGCAAGCCUUGAAUCGAAGCCCCGGUAAACGGCGGCCGUAACAAUAACGGUCCUAAGGUAGCGAAAUUCCUUGUCGGGUAAGUUCCGACCUGCACGAAUGGCGUAACGACUUCCCCGCUGUCUCAAAUGUGGACUCAGCGAAAUUGAACUGUCUGUCAAGAUGCAGACUUCCCGCGGUUAGACGGAAAGACCCCAUGAACCUUUACUCCAGCUUCGCACUGGCAUCAGGAUUGCGAUGUGCAGGAUAGGUGGUAGGCUUUGAAAUCGGGACGCCAGUUCCGGUGGAGCCACCCUUGAGAUACCACCCUUCGCACUCUUGAUGUCUAACCGCGGCCCGUUAUCCGGGUCCGGGACCAUGCGUGGCGGGGAGUUUGACUGGGGCGGUCGCCUCCUAAAAAGUAACGGAGGCGUGCGAAGGUAAGCUAGAGCUGGUCGGAAAUCAGCUUGAUAGUAUAAUGGCAUAAGCUUGCCUGACUGCGAGGCUGACAAGCCAAGCAGAGACGAAAGUCGGUCAUAGUGAUCCGGUGAUUCUGUAUGGAAGGGUCAUCGCUCAACGGAUAAAAGGUACUCUGGGGAUAACAGGCUGAUACCGCCCAAGAGUUCAUAUCGACGGCGGUGUUUGGCACCUCGAUGUCGGCUCAUCUCAUCCUGGGGCUGAAGCAGGUCCCAAGGGUAUGGCUGUUCGCCAUUUAAAGAGGUACGUGAGCUGGGUUUAGAACGUCGUGAGACAGUUCGGUCCCUAUCUACCGUGGGCGUUGGAAAUUUGAGAGGAUCUGCUCCUAGUACGAGAGGACCAGAGUGGACGAACCUCUGGUGUACCGGUUGUGACGCCAGUCGCAUCGCCGGGUAGCUAUGUUCGGAAGGGAUAACCGCUGAAAGCAUCUAAGCGGGAAGCCUACCUCAAGAUAAGAUUUCCCUAGGACUUUAUGUCCUCUAAAGAGCCGUUGAAGACUACGACGUUGAUAGGUUGGAUGUGGAAGCAUAGUGAUAUGUGAAGCUGACCAAUACUAAUUGCUCGUGAGGCUUGACUAU